GAUGAACGCUGGCGGCGUGCUUAACACAUGCAAGUCGAACGAAGACAUCUGAGUGCUUGCACUUGGAUGGACUGAGUGGCGGACGGGUGAGUAACGCGUGGGUAACCUGCCUUAUACAGGGGGAUAACAGUUGGAAACGACUGCUAAUACCGCAUAAGCGCACGGUAUCGCAUGAUACAGUGUGAAAAACUCCGGUGGUAUAAGAUGGACCCGCGUCUGAUUAGCUUGUUGGUGAGGUAACGGCCCACCAAGACGACGAUCAGUAGCCGGCCUGAGAGGGUGAACGGCCACAUUGGGACUGAGACACGGCCCAAACUCCUACGGGAGGCAGCAGUGGGGAAUAUUGCACAAUGGGGGAAACCCUGAUGCAGCGACGCCGCGUGAGUGAUGAAGUAUUUCGGUAUGUAAAACUCUAUCAGCAGGGAAGAUAAAUGACGGUACCUGACUAAGAAGCACCGGCUAAAUACGUGCC
rnacentral:rRNA from 1 species